UACGUAGGGGGCGAGCGUUGUCCGGAUUUAUUGGGCGUAAAGAGCUCGUAGGUGGUUUGGUAAGUCGGAUGUGAAAUCUCCAGGCUCAACCUGGAGGGGUCAUUCGAUACUGCCAUGACUAGAGUUCGGUAGGGGAGUGUGGAAUUCCUGGUGGAGCGGUGAAAUGCGCAGAUAUCAGGAGGAACACCUGUGGCGAAGGCGCCUUGCUGGCCAAUUUCUGACGCUGAGGCGCGAAAGCGUGGGGAGCAAACAGG
rnacentral:rRNA from 1 species